CUCUAGGAUAGUGGACGUUACUCGCAGAAUAAGCACCGGCUAACUCUGUGCCAGCAGCCGCGGUAAUACAGAGGGUGCGAGCGUUAAUCGGAUUUACUGGGCGUAAAGCGUGCGUAGGCGGCUUUUUAAGUCGGAUGUGAAAUCCCUGAGCUUAACUUAGGAAUUGCAUUCGAUACUGGGAAGCUAGAGUAUGGGAGAGGAUGGUAGAAUUCCAGGUGUAGCGGUGAAAUGCGUAGAGAUCUGGAGGAAUACCGAUGGCGAAGGCAGCCAUCUGGCCUAAUACUGACGCUGAGGUACGAAAGCAUGGGGAGCAAACAGGAUUAGAUACCCUGGUAGUCCAUGCCGUAAACGAUGUCUACUAGCCGUUGGGGCCUUUGAGGCUUUAGUGGCGCAGCUAACGCGAUAAGUAGACCGCCUGGGGAGUACGGUCGCAAGACUAAAACUCAAAUGAAUUGACGGGGGCCCGCACAAGCGGUGGAGCAUGUGGUUUAAUUCGAUGCAACGCGAAGAACCUUACCUGGUCUUGACAUAGUAAGAACUUUCCAGAGAUGGAUUGGUGCCUUCGGGAACUUACAUACAGGUGCUGCAUGGCUGUCGUCAGCUCGUGUCGUGAGAUGUUGGGUUAAGUCCCGCAACGAGCGCAACCCUUUUCCUUAUUUGCCAGCGGGUUAAGCCGGGAACUUUAAGGAUACUGCCAGUGACAAACUGGAGGAAGGCGGGGACGACGUCAAGUCAUCAUGGCCCUUACGACCAGGGCUACACACGUGCUACAAUGGUCGGUACAAAGGGUUGCUACCUAGCGAUAGGAUGCUAAUCUCAAAAAGCCGAUCGUAGUCCGGAUUGGAGUCUGCAACUCGACUCCAUGAAGUCGGAAUCGCUAGUAAUCGCGGAUCAGAAUGCCGCGGUGAAUACGUUCCCGGGCCUUGUACACACCGCCCGUCACACCAUGGGAAUUUGUUGCACCAGAAGUAGGUAGUCUAACCGCAAGGAGGACGCUACCACGGUUACCCCA
rnacentral:rRNA from 1 species